GGCGGGUUUCGCUCUCAGUUAAUGGAGAACGGGCGAAGGGAAGAGUGAGUGUGUUAUUAUGUCCCGAUACAACCGGUGCGGUGGAGAAACCAAGGUCUAUGUAGGUAACUUGGGAACAGGUGCCGGUAAAGGGGAACUAGAGCGUGCAUUCAGCUACUACGGACCACUGAGGACAGUCUGGAUAGCACGGAAUCCCCCUGGUUUUGCUUUUGUGGAGUUUGAGGAGCCUCGAGAUGCUGAAGAUGCUGUUCGUGGUUUGGAUGGCAAGGUAAUUUGCGGCUCACGUGUUCGAGUGGAAUUAUCAACAGGAAUGCCACGCCGCUCACGCUUUGAGCGGCCACCAGCACGCCGACCCUUUGACCCAAAUGAUCGGUGUUAUGAAUGUGGAGAAAAGGGUCAUUAUGCUUAUGAUUGUCAUCGCUAUAGCCGACGCAGAAGGAGCAGGUCUAGGACUAGAUCACGUUCACGCUCACGGGGAAGAAGGUAUACCCGUUCACACAGCCGUAGUCGUGGCAGAAGGUCCAGGUCUUUUUCUCCUCGGAGGUCCAGGUCUUUCUCUCCAAGAAGGUCUCGGUCAUUCUCUCCUAAAAGGUCCAGGUCUAGAUCAAGGUCACGGUCCAGAUCCAGGUCUCUGUCGAGACAGAGAAGCAGGUCUCUAUCUCCCUUAAGAAGAUCCCAGUCUGGAUCACCGGUUCGAAGUCGCUCAAAGUCAAGAUCACUUUCACCAAAGCGAAGAUUAUCCCAACGUAAUGAUGCUGUUACAAAUACUUCCCAUGAACACCCCUUGGCACAAAAGGAAAAGUCUAACAUAUAUGAGUCCUCCAGGAGAGAUGUCAGAGAGAGGGAGGAUCGGCAUGGACCUGCAUCUUUGGAUCCAGCAGCUUCAUAACUCUGUUAGCCAAAACUAAACCAAACCAGAGAAAAGCUGAACUGGGAGAACUGGCCACUCCCCUUUCAUUGUGCAAGUAUUUUUGUUUGUUUCAGGAAAAAUGUUUCAUAUUAAUGUCCAUUAUAAUCAAACUAGCCCAAAAGCUGUCCAAAACGAGACCUCCUGAAGUCUGUGUUUAGGAAUCCUCUGGGAGGAAAAAAAAACAAGAACAUAACCUUGUUAAAGGAACAGCAUCAUCACAGUUAAUAAACCAUCGUACACCAUCUGAAAACUCUCGUAGAAGUGCAAGUCCUGACCGAAAUGACUAAGUUGCAAAGCAGAACUUUAGAAUGAAUGUUUUUUGUUUACAUUCUUUGAAGUUGUAUGGGAAUCUUAAUUCUUUGUGGGAUUUUGAUUUGAUUUUAAAUGUAAGGGCUUAUUUCUAAAUUAAUUUUUCAUGCUUCCUUUCCCCCUUUGUGGAAAAUAUUUGGCGCGGGUAGGCCUGAUUUUUUUUUAAAGAAUACACAUCUUAGAGUAGAUACUAAAUCUAGUAAUCUGCAUUUAUUUUCCUGCAUAACUGUGUUGUAUUCUUUUGUUCUAAUAUCAGAUUCCUCUCAGACCUGUUGAAGUGUAUUACAUUUUUGUAUCUGGAAAUAGAAAUAAAUAAAUUGUCCUGAGAA